rnacentral:rRNA from 1 species
AACGAACGCUGGCGGCAUGCCUAACACAUGCAAGUCGAACGAAGGCUUCGGCCUUAGUGGCGCACGGGUGCGUAACGCGUGGGAACCUGCCCCUCGGUUCGGAAUAACAGUUGGAAAUGACUGCUAAUACCGGAUGAUGACUUCGGUCCAAAGAUUUAUCGCCGAGGGAUGGGCCCGCGUAGGAUUAGCUAGUUGGUGGGGUAAAGGCCUACCAAGGCGACGAUCCUUAGCUGGUCUGAGAGGAUGAUCAGCCACACUGGGACUGAGACACGGCCCAGACUCCUACGGGAGGCAGCAGUGGGGAAUAUUGGACAAUGGGCGAAAGCCUGAUCCAGCAAUGCCGCGUGAGUGAUGAAGGCCUUAGGGUUGUAAAGCUCUUUUACCAGGGAUGAUAAUGACAGUACCUGGAGAAUAAGCUCCGGCUAACUCCGUG